rnacentral:tRNA from 1 species
GCCUGGGUGGCUUAGUUGUUAAGCAUCUGCCUUCAACUCAGCUCAUGAGCCCAGGGUCCUGGGAUCAAGUCCCACAUCAGGCU